rnacentral:rRNA from 1 species
UGGGGAAUAUUGCACAAUGGGGGAAACCCUGAUGCAGCGACGCCGCGUGAACGAAGAAGGUAUUCGUAUCGUAAAGUUCUGUCCUAUGGGAAGAUAAUGACAGUACCAUAGAAGAAAGCUCCGGCUAAAUACGUGCCAGCAGCCGCGGUAAUACGUAUGGAGCGAGCGUUGUCCGGAAUUAUUGGGCGUAAAGGGUACGCAGGCGGUUUAAUAAGUCGAAUGUGAAAGAUCGGGGCUCAACCCCGUAAAGCAUUGGAAACUGAUAAACUUGAGUAGUGGAGAGGAAAGUGGAAUUCCUAGUGUAGUGGUGAAAUACGUAGAUAUUAGGAGGAAUACCAGUAGCGAAGGCGACUUUCUGGACACAAACUGACGCUGAGGUACGAAAGCGUGGGGAGCAAACAGG